CCUAUACAAAAAAGAAAUAUGCUUGAAGUUAUAUAAUAUAAAGUGUGCAAAGCAGGAACAAACAAUAUAAUGCACGUGGAACAGUAGUAGGCAAAACAAGAGCAGUAUAACAUGUUAUACAUGAAGAACAGUAGUAGGUAGAAACAUGACAAGUGUAACAUGUUAUACAGAGAGAACAGUAGCAAGUAGAAACAAGAGUAAUAUGAUACACAGGAAGAGCAGUAGUAAGUAGAAACAGGAGAAUUAUAACAUGUUAUAUAAGAACAACAGCAGGUAGGAACAGGAAAAUUAAAUGCUGUAAAAUGUAAAUCAAACCUGUACGCCCGUGAAAUUCGCUGUCCCUUAAGCAUAGCAAACCUAAAUGCAUCUCAAAAAGUAAAUCCCGAAAGAAACGUCGUCCAGGAAACCCGAAGAAAAGCGGAGGAACUCGAGAAAAUCAACGAAAGAGACUCAAGUAAAAGAAAAUCCUCAAAA